rnacentral:rRNA from 1 species
GCUUGUCUCAAAGAUUAAGCCAUGCAUGUCUCAGUAUAAGCUUUUACACGGCGAAACUGCGAAUGGCUCAUUAAAACAGUUAUCGUUUCUUUGGUGGUUAUUGAUUACAUGGAUAACCGUGGUAAUUCUAGAGCUAAUACAUGCACCAAGCGCGCUUUUACGAGCGCGUGUAUUUAUUAGAUACAAUCAACCCUUCGGGUUUUGAUGAGUCAUAAUAACUGAACUAAGCGCAUGCUUUGGCGGCGCUGUUUCAUUCAAGUUUCUGCCCUAUCAGCUUUCGAUGGUAGGGUAUUGGCCUACCAUGGCGUUCACGGGUAACGGAGAAUUAGGGUUCGAUUCCGGAGAGGGAGCCUGAGAGAUGGCUACCACAUCCAAGGAAGGCAGCAGG